rnacentral:rRNA from 1 species
CAGUCGCCACGGUAAUACAGAGGGUGCGAGCGUUAAUCGGAUUUACUGGGCGUAAAGCGUGCGUAGGCGGCUUCUUAAGUCGGAUGUGAAAUCCCUGAGCUUAACUUAGGAAUUGCAUUCGAUACUGGGAAGCUAGAGUAUGGGAGAGGAUGGUAGAAUUCCAGGUGUAGCGGUGAAAUGCGUAGAGAUCUGGAGGAAUACCGAUGGCGAAGGCAGCCAUCUGGCCUAAUACUGACGCUGAGGUACGAAAGCAUGGGGAGCAAACAGGAUUAGAGACCCGGGUAGUCCCUGUCUCUUAUAC